UUCCGGUUGAUCCUGCCGGAGGUCAUUGCUAUCGGGGUCCGAUUUAGCCAUGCUAGUUGUACGAGUUCACACUCGUAGCAAAUAGCUCCGUAACACGUGGCCAAACUGCCCUACGGACUUGAAUAACCUCGGGAAACUGAGGCUAAUUCCUGAUACGGUUCCCAUGCUGGAAUGCCGGGAACCCGAAACGUUCCGACGCCGUAGGAUGUGGCUGCGGCCGAUUAGGUAGACGGUGGGGUAACGGCCCACCGUGCCGAUAAUCGGUACGGGUUGUGAGAGCAAGAACCCGGAGACGGAAUCUGAGACAAGAUUCCGGGCCCUACGGGGCGCAGCAGGCGCGAAACCUUUACACUGUACGCAAGUACGAUAAGGGGAUCCCGAGUGCGAGGGCAUACAGUCCUCGCUUUUCUGUACCGUAAGGAGGUACAAGAAUAAGAGCUGGGCAAGACCGGUGCCAGCCGCCGCGGUAAUACCGGCAGCUCAAGUGAUGGCCGCUAUUAUUGGGCCUAAAGCGUCCGUAGCCGGCCGGAUAAGUCCGUCGGGAAAUCCACCCGCUCAACGGGUGGGCGUCCGGCGGAAACUGUCCGGCUUGGGGCCGGAAGACCUGGGGGGUACGUCUGGGGUAGGAGUGAAAUCCUGUAAUCCUGGACGGACCGCCGGUGGCGAAAGCGCCUCAGGAGGACGGACCCGACGGUGAGGGACGAAAGCUAGGGUCACGAACCGGAUUAGAUACCCGGGUAGUCCUAGCCGUAAACGAUGCUCGCUAGGUGUGGCACAGGCUACGAGCCUGUGCUGUGCCGUAGGGAAGCCGUGAAGCGAGCCGCCUGGGAAGUACGUCCGCAAGGAUGAAACUUAAAGGAAUUGGCGGGGGAGCACUACAACCGGAGGAGCCUGCGGUUUAAUUGGA
rnacentral:rRNA from 1 species